ACGAACAAUGGUAAAUUUAUACUUUUUUUACACAUUUUUGAUUUUUCGUGUAGAUAUUUAUUUUCACCGCGCGCCAUCUUUACAAAACAAGAAAUUACAAAUUGGAAUUUCUUAAAAUAUCCCGAAACUCGGAACUGACCUACUUUGGUGAGGUGGAUCAUCGCAACAACCAACAUCCCUUGAUCCUAUCCGGGGAUUUUGAUAUUGCCAACAGCGGAGAACUGGCACUGAACGGCCCUCCCGUGAGGGAUCUUUCUGUCCCGACCAUCCGGAUAAACAGCGGCACCAAUGAUUGCAGGUUUCCUCCGGAUUCCCAUCAACCCAUCCCCCGAGCGGGAUUCCCAUCAACAGGCCGAUGAAGGGAAAAGGCAUCUACAGCCAGCAUGCAAACGGAUUCCGAUUUAGCAAGACAGCCACGAACUUCGGCAUCACGCGUCACUUACAGCGGGUUGGUGUUAUGCUGGCUACCACAUCAACAGGAAAUCAUUCAUCCAACCAACUGGAUGGUGUUUCUUCCGGCAACACCUUAAAGGUGACGCAGAAAAGGUUGCUCUCACAUCUGUAACGGGGGAAACAGGAUUACCGGAUGGGGCCUCCAACGAGUACCAAGCGGAUUCUUCCUCCACCAAGUGUAUUCAAGAAAGAAUACAAAGACGCUCAUCGACAAUCUUUUUUCGGAUUUAUCACCGCAACCAUUGCAAACCAUUAAAGCGGGUCAGUUAUCGAGUAAGCUGGUUAACCACUUGUUUAUUAUUCGGUCGGUGGAUGAACCUGGUUGACACGAUGAAGAAUUGUGCGGAGUAAAAUGGUGGAGA